AAUUUGAUUUAGUUUAGUGGCGGACGGGUGAGUAACGCGUGAGUAACCUGCCUUCAAGAGGGGGAUAACAUUCUGAAAAGAAUGCUAAUACCGCAUGACAUAUCGGAACCACAUGGUUUUGAUAUCAAAGAUUUUAUCGCUUGAAGAUGGACUCGCGUCCGAUUAGUUAGUUGGUGAGGUAACGGCUCACCAAGACCGCGAUCGGUAGCCGGACUGAGAGGUUGAACGGCCACAUUGGGACUGAGACACGGCCCAGACUCCUACGGGAGGCAGCAGUGGGGGAUAUUGCGCAAUGGGGGCAACCCUGACGCAGCAACGCCGCGUGAAGGAUGAAGGUUUUCGGAUUGUAAACUUCUUUUAUUAAGGACGAAAAUUGACGGUACUUAAUGAAUAAGCUCCGGCUAACUACGUGCCAGCAGCCGCGGUAAUACGUAGGGAGCAAGCGUUGUCCGGAUUUACUGGGUGUAAAGGGUGCGUAGGCGGCUUUGCAAGUCAGAUGUGAAAUCUAUGGGCUCAACCCAUAAACUGCAUUUGAAACUGUAGAGCUUGAGUGAAGUAGAGGCAGGCGGAAUUCCCCGUGUAGCGGUGAAAUGCGUAGAGAUGGGGAGGAACACCAGUGGCGAAGGCGGCCUGCUGGGCUUUAACUGACGCUGAGGCACGAAAGCGUGGGUAGCAAACAGGAUUAGAUACCCUGGUAGUCCACGCUGUAA
rnacentral:rRNA from 1 species